rnacentral:lncRNA from 1 species
GGGAAUAACAUUUAUUAACAGAAUCUGGUCAUUAUAUCUCAGGUAAGAAAACAUGUUUUGAUCUUAGUUGAAAUCCAAGCAUCCCUACGGCUAAAAGCAGUUUUAAGUGUUUCUUUUUCACUGUGCUUAUAAUUUCUUAAUGAUUUUCAUGUUUGUCUCAAGACAUAAUGUUUAAGGGUUUAUGGUCAUUAACUAUUGAUAUUUACAGUACUCCUACUUAUUUCAAUGUCUAUAAUGAAAUGUCGAUCUGUUUUUGUAAAUCUAGAGUGUUCAAAUUUUCUACAUGUAGUUUUUCAAGUCCAACAGGUAUGUCUUCUGUUAGAUGAAUAGCAAAUAAGUUAUGAAAAUCAUUUUCUUUACAUAGUCUCAUGAAACAGUUAUUUUUCUAAUGUCUCUGUAUUGUUGAAUCUCAAUUUUUUUAUUGAUCUGUCUGCAUAGGUGGAUUUGUCUUCUUGCCCUGAUUGUUCACUAAUGCCCACUUUCAUGUGUCCAUUAGGCUUUCUACUAAGAUCCUGCUCCAGAAUGCUUAAUGUUAGAAAUCUUGCCUAGAGAAGGAAUCCUAGACAUUCCAACCUGGAAGCAUUUUCCUUAAAAACGUUUUUCCUUUUAAUAUUUUUUAAGUUUCAAAGAGUUUUCAAGAACAUCUUAUGGGAAGCUCAACCUUCAAUUCUUCUUAGCCCCUCCGGCCAAAAGUCUUCAGUUAGGAAAAAAAUAAAAUGCUCCUUAAAAACAAACAAAAAAAAAACGAAAAAAUGAAAAACAAAAAAACAACUGACUUUGUUGUUUCACAGGGAGGCGGUUUGGGAACUGAGGGCUCCCAGAAUGCACUCCUGCAGCACUUCCUAAAUCCUUUCAAUGAACUGCACCUGACGCAGAGAAUGAACGUGUGUAUGCCUGAAAUGGUCUACAAAUAUACCAAGCACAGAGUUCUUUUGAAGUCUUAUUUUUACAUUAAAAAUCCAUAUAAAUGCUGCAUUUUACUCCAUUAUGUUUCAAUAUAAAAGAAAUGAUGUUUUAUAUUGCUUAUCAACUAGUAAAAUUGAUACUCUUAUAACUUCAUAUACCUCUUUUGUACCCCUUGGAAAACAUAUCCCCAGUUUAAGAAGCACUGCAUGAAUGACGGGAACAUAGACUGACCUUUCAGGUACGCUGGAGGUUUCUGCUACUGAGAAAGGGUACUCAUCGGUAACUAGCUCAGUGACCGAGGACAAACAUCAGUGAGUAGAGACUUUGAAUGAACUCUAAAUAAUACAGACUCAAGAAUGGCUAAUUUGAUUCUUCUAGCUAUCUUAACAACCAGUGCAAAUUGCCACAAGAUCAACUUAGCUCAAAGACUGAGAUGAAUCAUAGAAGUAUAGAAAUGGACACAUGGAUGAAUGUCUUGGGUUGAAUCACAAAUAUAAGAGUGACAUAAUUGAGUCCCUGGAGUUGAUCUGAUUUGUCUCUAAAUAUUUCCACUAGAAAUUUCUCCAUUCUGGCAAAACCAACUGCUUUGAAGCAAGCAUUUAGAUCAAGCAUUAUCCUGAUAUGACUAGAUCUGGUAACAAGGAGAGAGUGUAUGCCAAGUAUCUGUUCCCAUUAAUUUCUUGUCAAAACAGUCUCACUCUCAUGUAGACACAGGCUGGGGAAAGCCAACAAUUUAACUAUUUUCACCUAGAAUUUGAAUAGCAAAAAGAAAAAAAAAAA